GAGCGGCAGAGGCAGGGCGGGAGAGGCGCACGCCGGGAGCACGAGAAUGGAGAGGCGCCCUGAGCUGGAGAGCGAUGCCCAGGGAGGCUGGGAAGGCGGGGAGGAAAGAGGCAGCUCUCAGGCAAGAGGGAGGCAGCAGCGAGGGAGACUUGCAAGGAGAGGGGAUGAGGAGGGAGCUGCUCAGGAAGCGCUAGUCUGAUUCACAGGCACAAGCCGAGAGCGGGCUCGGCAGCAGCCGCCAGGAUGCAACGCCAGGGGCUCUUCUUCCGCCUCGCAGUUAGGAGAGAGCAAAGUCGCCCCCCACACACCCGCAGGGGAGUCCCCUGCUUUCAGUCAUGUGGGCGAGCAAAGCCUGAGAGCUGCGCCUCCCUCCGAGCCGCCCCCUCCCUUGCCAGUGACGCAGAUGUGCGCUGGAGCCUUCCGUGAGCAGAGGCAGAUGCUUGUUUCAGCCUUCCUCAUGCAAGUGGUCAAGGCCAUCAACAAAGUGCUGCUCUGCAGAGUCAUCCGCCUCACUGAUGUAGACGCAAUGAUCGAGAGGUUUGGUGCCCUGGACUUCCCCAACUGCGGGGGGGCAAUCGACGGUACUCACAUCCCCAUCCAUGCCCCGGACCACUACGCCUCCCUGUACAUCAACCGGAAGGGAUACUUCUCUGCAUGGCGAGGGAUACUUCUCUGCACAUCCUCCUCUGAACAGCGAGGACUGCAGGUCUCCGUACUGUCGGAGCCAAUGUGCUUGCACACAGGCCAUCUUCGGCAUGUCCUGCCAUCCUCGGGAGUGUGAGCUGGCCUAGGACUGCACCUAUGCCCCUGUGCUGUAUCUAGUGUUGGGGGUGGAGGGGAGAAGGGAGAUGUGCCCUGCCUCUGUGUAGAGGGGGCACGUGAAGGGAGGGCAUCAUGCAGUGUCCGUCCCCGGGGUCAGGAACAUGUCAUGUGCCUUCAUACAUACAUGCUUGUGGGUAACAGGCCAGGGCCCCUAUGUGGCAGCCAGACGGGGCCACAUGCCCAGGGUGGCAUGGCACAUGCACAGGUUGCUGCAUGCUCCGUGGUCAGCAAGGCCCACACAUGCGGUCCCUGCUCUCCCUCUCCCUCCCUCCCCUUGCCUCUCAUAAGAGGACAGUGAUGGUACUCACGUGUCGAGGUCUCCCCGACCUCAGAUGACACUGGCGACAGGCUUGCUGGGAUGGUUUGAGAGUCCUGGAUGUGGGGCACACUCCCUCCAUGCUCCUGCGGCUCCUAGCUGUCCUCCUUCUCCUCCUCCUCAUCGGUAUCAUGGGCAGGGCCCUCUGCCCCAGAGUUGAUGACCAUCUGGGGGGCACGGUCCAUCUGACCCCCCCAGGAUGCAGUCCAGAGCAUCAUAAU